GACAGAAGAGGCUUGCAUAGCCUGGACAGUAAACCUCUUAAAUUUUCUGGGACUUCAGGGAUACAGGGUGUCUAAGAAAAAGGCUCAGGUAGUGAAACAGAAAGUGAUUUACUUGGGCUAUGAGGUUAGUGCUGGACAACAAACUCUGGGACAAGAUCGUAAGGAAGCAAUACGUCAAACCCCAAAACCCCGGACAAUAAAAGAACUACUGACCUUCCUGGGUAUGACGGGAUGGUGUAGGUUGUGGAUUUACAGCUACGGAUUGCUUGUAAAGCCUCUGUGUGCACUCAUUGCCAAUGGAAACAGAGACCUCCAGUGGACAAAGGAGGCCACAUGGGCCUUCAACCAGCUGAAGAAUGCUCUCAUGUCAGCUCCAGCUCUAGGACUUCCAGAUCUUCUUUCCUUAGUGGAAACAAAGGAGAAGCGGUACACCACGAUUGCCUGGAAACCAUUGAGGCCACAUACUCCAGCCGUCCAGACCUGAAGGAUACCCCUUUGGACAACGCAGAAACCUGGUUUACUGAUGGGAGCAGCUAUGUCAUCAGUGGAAAAUGACAUGCUGGAUAUGUUGUUACCACCUGCAGAGAGGUAAUAGAAUCUGGACCUUUGCCAAUAAACACCUCUGCACAAAAAGCAGAACUGAUUGCUCUGACUAGAGCCUUAGAAAUAGCAAAAGGAAAGAAUAUAAACAUCUAUACAGACUUGAGAUAAGCAUUUGGGGUUGUGCAUGCAUGUGGAGCCAUUUGGAAAGAAAGAGGACUGUUGAACUUGAAAGGGAAAAACAUCAAACAUGCACAAGAAAUAGUGCAACUGUUGAAAGCCCUCCAACUGCCUGAGAAGGCAGCAAUUAUGCACAUCAAGGCACACCAGAAGGUGAGCUCAGAAUUGGAGGAGGGAAAUGAACUGGCAGAGAGGGAGGCAAAAGAAGUGGCAAAAGGUUGGCCAGAAGCCUUUCCAACUAGAACUGCAAAGGCCCA